rnacentral:rRNA from 1 species
GCGGAAGGAUCAUUACCGAGUUUUCGAGCUCCGGCUCGACUCUCCCACCCUUUGUGAACGUACCUCUGUUGCUUUGGCGGCUCCGGCCGCCAAAGGACCUUCAAACUCCAGUCAGUAAACGCAGACGUCUGAUAAACAAGUUAAUAAACUAAAACUUUCAACAACGGAUCUCUUGGUUCUGGCAUCGAUGAAGAACGCAGCGAAAUGCGAUAAGUAAUGUGAAUUGCAGAAUUCAGUGAAUCAUCGAAUCUUUGAACGCACAUUGCGCCCCUUGGUAUUCCGGGGGGCAUGCCUGUUCGAGCGUCAUUACAACCCUCAAGCUCUGCUUGGAAUUGGGCACCGUCCUCACUGCGGACGCGCCUCAAAGACCUCGGCGGUGGCUGUUCAGCCCUCAAGCGUAGUAGAAUACACCUCGCUUUGGAGCGGUUGGCGUCGCCCGCCGGACGAACCUUCUGAACUUUUCUCAAGGUUGACCUCGGAUCAGGUACGUAGCCCCCG